AAAACCUGUAAAUAUUAUACUUGACUGUGAAGUGUACCCCUAGUUAAGACACCAUGUUUCCAUAGUUUCCUUUGAAAUUAUUCUCACCUUUCUGAUUUCCUUUGGCCUCAUUUUAUUGCCUGAUGUUGGACAAAAAGAGAAAACAUAAAUGAAGUAGAAAAGAGGGUUGAUUGAGUGAAUAACUCAAAUAGCAUUAACCUUUAGAUACCUUUGUUUUCAUUGUCACUGGUCUGAGUCAAAUAUCUGUGCAAAAAAUAAAAAUCUAGAUAAAACUGAGCACAUACAAGAAAGACCCAAACAGGCAGUGACCUGCCUUCUACAGGGCCUGUGAAAAAAGAUAAAUUUACAUCAAUAGAUGUGUAUAGACAUUAGGAGCCUCUACAGAGCAUGAUGGAAAUAGACAUUUGCUUUUCUGGUUCAGUUUGUCUUUCAGAAAACCAGAUUCUACCAUUUUUGUUGGGUCUGAAUAACACUCGACUCAUAUCCAGGGAUAUGCUAGUUGAUUGUCACUAUCACGUGAGAUCUUUGCCUGUGAAUAGGGUACCCACGUGUGGCCUCAAGAACCCAGAAAAAUAACCAUAUGGUCCCAGGGUAUUAGACAUGAGAAGGGGCUUGGACCAGAUGACCUCCAGAGGUCCCUUCCUACCCCAACCAUUCUGUGGUUCCAGACUGACUUUAAAACAUGUGUAUCACAUGUCUAUAUAAAUAUACAUACAUGUGUAUGUAUAGCUACAUGUUUACGUAUAUAUAUGAAACCCUACAUUUUCUUCAGGAAAAUUAUGAAGAAAAUAAAUGCAAUAACCAGCAACAUGCGGGGGUCACAGGAGUUUGAGCAUCGGUUGCAUCAUAAGAUAAUCAUUCACAUGUCCAUAGGACUUGUUCCUUCUGUCAAAUUGCAGAAGGUUUAAUAAAGAAAUGUUUCCUGCAAUUGCUUACUGCUUGGCUUAGUGUGCUCACUUGGAUAUUUAACCAUGUUUUAUUUUACUUCAUGCUAGCCAAAGCAGUGAGUGAACACUUGAUGUAAGACUCAAAGCAAAUCCCUCCUAGUUACACCAUGUGGAAGGAAGAAGAGAUUCUUUACCAGCUUUCUUUGAAGAUGCUCAUCGGCUGAUGAUAUGUUCUUCUGGAAAUACACUCAGAGAAUAAUAGGGGGAUUUUCUAUGAAAAUGAAGAGAUUUGAAAAUCAUUUUAUUUUUACUUCUGUUUAGUUCAGACUUUUUAUAUGAAUAAAUGGCACUUUUAUUAAACUGUAAAAUACUGACAAUGUAUUUUUAGAACAAUGUAUUUUAGAUUUUUUUUUUUUUUUUUAAAUCAAGGGCUGAAUUCAUUUUAGGAGAAACUACUUGCAUAGAUGUUAAAAGAUGCUGUUACUUCCCCCUCAGGCUCAGAUGCACAAUGUAAAGUUUCAUGAAAAAAAAAAAAAAGAAAA
rnacentral:lncRNA from 1 species